rfam:Triticum aestivum genome assembly, contig: Triticum_aestivum_CS42_TGACv1_scaffold_376929_5AL
UAGCAAUGAGGAGAAAUUGAAAGGCCGGUCUUACGUCUGCCUCCUAGACACAGAUGAUCGAGAUCCUCUCGUCGUCAUUCUGGGAGGUUGUAGCAUGAUGUGAUAUUGGCGAAAGGUUUCCUCUGAGCCAU